rnacentral:lncRNA from 1 species
UGGAGUUGGAGAGGGAGAACUGUGGCGUCGGUGGUUGUUUGGUUUAGAGGUCACCGAGAGAGAGUGAGAGAAGGGAAAAAAGGUGGUCGACAGCUUAGCUGGUUUCGCCGGCAGCAGUUGAGCAGUGGCGGGAGAUGGUGGUGUCUCUAGUAGGGAAAAAGUUGUUAGUAGGUGGAUUUUUCUGGUGAAGUCGAUAGAUUGGUGGAGUCGUGGUGGUCGGUGGUUGGGUUUAGAGAGAGAGGAUGAGAGAAGAGAGAGACAUGAAAUGGGGGGUG